UAUGCAAUCCCUAUCAUUGCGUUACUACUAUUGCACCCUACACUGAUUUAAACCUGCUUACUGUGGUCUAGCCUAGUUAAGUGCACUUACGGUGUCGGCGGCUCAUCAUCUGUGUGGUGGAGUUAGCAGUUCGUUUCUGUUAAGUCAUAGCCAAUCUAGUGACAGUAUACAGUAGCCAGUGAGAAUUGCUGAAUCUAGUGACUUGUUUCGGUGGAAGAUAUAAAUUAAUUGCAUUUGCUUUCGUCACGGAUAGUGUGAGAUUGACAGUUCUUUAUACGGCUGUUAUGAAUUAUGAAGUUGGUUACUCGUUUUCGUCUGUAUUUCUUGUAUUGUGUUUCCCAGAAUAUGACAGAAUUCCUUUGAGAUAUUGUUGCGUAUUCCAGUGAUCAUUUGGGUGAUGAGUUGGUGAAGUCAAUGUAUGUGAAUGAAGAAAAACUCACUAUGGUACUGGGCAGAUCUGUCGUGUAACCCAAGGACUAGCACCUGUUCGUCGGCACAGCACUGAGAACUGGCUCCGAGGAACUUCCUCUAAACUGGAGCUGUCUCAUCCGUCAUGUUAUGCGGGAGAGCAGCCUUACAAUUGAAGCUGAGAAAAAGUCCAAGUACGUUGCAACUGUGCGGCUGCUCUUGUGCAUGCAUUGUAAUCCUCGGGCGCCACCGGCUUCCUAAACUGCUGCCCGAAUCUCAUCAGUCCGCACCUUGAGGUGCUAGACAGUCGCCGUGCAGCAGUGUGAGAUGGCCACCGGACACACUUAUGUACAUUAUCACAAGUAUACCUAUCAGAGUCUGCAGUGAUCUUUGCUGCAUGUUGGAGUUCAUUCUGUGUUGAAGUUUCACGGUAUUGGGCUUCUGAUGGGAAACACUGAAGGAGUGCUGCAGGGGCAUUGCGUGGUGACACGAGACUGCCACCCGACGUGCUUAUGACUUCACAAGUGUAUGUCUCGGAAUCUGCAGUGCCAUGUGCUGCAUUAUUGGGUUCUUCAGUGGGAAG